UGGCUCAGGAUGAACGCUAGCUACAGGCCUAACACAUGCAAGUCGAGGGGUAGCGUGAGGAAGCUUGCUCCCUGACGACGACCGGCGAAUGGGUGAGUCACGCGUGUCCAACCUGCCCCGUGCCCGGGGAUAGCCCUUGGAAAUGAGGAUUAAGACCCGAUAUGUGGCGCUUCCGCAUGGCGGCGCCAUGAAGCAGGCACGGGAUGGGGACGCGUCGGAUUAGCUUGACGGCGGGGCAACGGCCCACCGUGGCGACGAUCCGCAGGGGUUCUGAGAGGAAGGUCCCCCACACUGGCACUGAGACACGGGCCAGACUCCUACGGGAGGCAGCAGUGAGGAAUAUUGGUCAAUGGGCGGGAGCCUGAACCAGCCAAAGUAGCGUGCAGGACGACGGCCCUACGGGUUGUAAACUGCUUUUCCGGGAGGAUAAAGUGAGCCACGCGUGGUUCAUUGCAGGUAUCCCGGGAAUAAGGACCGGCUAAUUCCGUGCCAGCAGCCGC
rnacentral:rRNA from 1 species